rnacentral:piRNA from 1 species
UGCUCAGAAUAGUUGUCCUCUCCUGCAC